rnacentral:lncRNA from 1 species
GUUAUUCUGGUUUUCCAGCAUGGUUGUUCCCUGCUGAGUUACAGCCACAGAUGCCAGAGGACGGUUUCAUCUGAGGAGCAACACAAUCUGGAGAAGAAGCUGUAGCUGGUGCUUUUCUGGGCAGUAGAUGUAUGAGAUUGUGCUAAGGUGAAAGAGACAAAAAACCAAAACAGCUGGAGGUUUUGAUAUUUAACGCAGCAUCCCUAGCAUCAUCUGGACUGCAUUAAGGUGUAUUACGGUGGAUCUAAAAGUGAUAUAAGAAAGAAUUGCUUUUGGGAGGAGAAGUCUCCCUGCAAGGCCAGCUCUGAAGAUGU